CAAAGAAUAGUUUUAAUAAGAAUUCUAGCUUUGGGAGUUAGGGGUAGGGGUUCGACCCCCCUUUCUUUGA
rnacentral:tRNA from 1 species